GACGAACGCUGGCGGCGUGCCUAACACAUGCAAGUCGAACGGAGAUUAUUGAUGAAGCUUGCGAUUUAAUAAUCUUAGUGGCGGACGGGUGAGUAACGCGUGGGUAACCUGCCCUUCACUCUGGGAUAACAGUUGGAAACGGCUGCUAAUACCGGAUAUUCAGCUCCUGUCGCAUGGUGGGGGUUGGAAAGUUUUGGUGGUGGAGGAUGGGCUCGCGUCCUAUCAGCUUGUUGGUGGGGUGAUGGCCUACCAAGGCGUCGACGGGUAGCCGGCCUGAGAGGGCGACCGGCCACAUUGGGGACUGAGAUACGGUCCAGACUCCUACGGGAGGCAGCAGUGGGGAAUAUUGGGC
rnacentral:rRNA from 1 species